CGAGCCAAACUGGCUCACGAGCCCAAACCUAGACCAAGACGCCAAGUCACCUUCGUGGGCCUCCCCCCAUAGGCCUGCACAAGCACAAUGCACAGCACAACGCCUGGGUGACACCGUGAGUCCAUGACAGCCGCCGCCCGCCGGUCUGCCCGUCCCUGGCUGUUGGCUCCCUCAGUCCCUCCCCCCGCCAUUUUCGGUUCUGGCCUGUGGCCUUCCCCUUUGCCUCCGGUCGAGUGGACGUGCUCCCUUCUCAUUCACCUCCGAGUGGCCGUGCUCCGCACCGCUGCACCUGCACAGCCGCGCCGUGCUCCCUUCCCCUUCGGGUCGCCGAGGCACCGGGGUUGCCGGACUAUCGGGCACUGGCUUCUUCACCAGCUCAACUCGACAUUGCCCUCCCCUCAGCCGCAGCAAGACAAGCACCAUACGCGUCCCGCCGGGCGCCAGCAGCCGAUCUUCAGUGCGCGACAGCAAAUCUUCAGUGCAUGAUUGCUAAGUGAUGGAUUCAUUAUCAGCUCGUUCAGCUGUGCAAGGGAAAGGGAGGAGUGAAAGAGAUGAGACUGAUUCAGAGAGCAACUCUUUUGACCAUAAUGAUGACAUGUCUGAGGAUGAGAUGACAGUGCUAGGUGGGAAAGAUGCUGAUGUUGUUACAGUUAAUGAAUCUGAUGGCGAUAGAGCCAAGAAAAGUCGUCGAGGGGUGAAGAUGCCAGUUAAGGUUGAGGGGGGCAGCAAGAGCAAAUCCAAGGUUUGGGAGGUCUGUGAUAAGAUUAAUGUGCCCAAUAAGUCAGAUAAGGAGAAUCCGCUAUUGAAGGCAAAGUGCAAAUAUUGUAACAAGCUUUAUAGUUGAAGGCAAAGUGCUAUUGAAGAACUGUCCCAAGUAUCGAAAGCAUAUUGAAGAAAAGCUAGAUCAAACACUGUUGAACUUUGCUCCUUCAAAGGCAGGUGAAUCUGGUUGUGGUCUCCCUACUAUCUCAUCUCCUAGAGAAUAUAAUCAUGAACAAGUCUAAAAAUUAAAUGCUAAGAUGAUUAUAGUUCAUGAGUACCCGUUUAGAAUGGUUGAGCACACAUGGUUUAAUAUUGUCAUGAAGUAUAUGAAUCUGUUGUAUGAAUUUAUUGGUAGAAAGACCAUAAGAGCUGAAUGUAUAAAGGUUUAUGAGUCUGAAAAAGAAUCAUUGGCUAAGGCCCUUAAAGGUGUGGAUUUCAUUUCCUUGACCACUGAUUUAUGGACAUCUAAUCAAAUGUUGUCCUAUAUGUGUUUGGUUGCACACUACAUUGAUAAAGAUUGGAAAAUGCAAUAUUGUGUGCUGAAUUUUUUUGAGUUAGACCCUCCAAAGGACAUGUGAUAGGACAAGCUGCAUAUGUUGUGUUACUGCAUGGAAAAUAGAAGAUAAGAUUAUUUCUUUCACUCUAGAUAAUGUUGCAAACAAUGACAGUGCUAUACGUGGUCUGAGGGCUAGAUUUGCAGCUAGAAAGGGGAAUGCUUUCAUUUCAAAAUACUUCCAUGUCUGUUGUUGUGCACACAUCAUCAAUUUGGUUGUCAAUGAUGGAGCCGCUGCAUUAGCUUCUUUGAUAGAAAACCUAAGGUUAACAGUCAAGUACCUUAAGAAGUCUCCAUCUUGUAUGCAUAAGUUUGUUGACAUUUGUAGAUCUCCUGCAAUUCAAAUUGGAGAAGGGAUGAGGCUUGAUGUCUCAACGAGGUGGGGUUCAACAUAUAAGAUGUUGCGCACUACUAUAGCUUACAAAGAAGCUAUAAAGACAUAGGCUGAUUCAGAUUUGAAUUAUAAGUGGAAACCUACAUUAGAAGAAUGAGAUUUGUUUGCUGCAAUUGAGCCAAUUCUAGCCUCUUUAGGAACCACUACACUGUCAACUUCUUCCUACCCCACCGCAAACCUAUUCUAUCCCCAUAAUGUGGAUGUCAAAAUUGCAUUGAGAGCAGCAAUGGUUUCUACUAAUUUUAAUAUGAAAAAAUGGGUAUUGCGAUGAUGGAGAAAUUCAACAAGUAUUGGGAAUAAAGGAACAAUGUUAUGGUGAUUGCUACUAUCCUAGAUCCAAGGUAUAAGAUGAGAUAUAUUGAGUGGUGUUUUGGUAAGAUUUUUUAUGUAGACCAAGUUGGAUUUGAGAUAGAAGAAUUUAGAGACGAAUUGGAAAAGUUGUAUGAAGACUAUGAGAUGCAACAUAGAGAGAGAAAAGCUGCUCAAAGCAAGCUUAGUGCAUCAUCAUCAUUGGCAAUGAAUAGAUCUUGUAGUUUGCCUACUGCAUCAUGUGAGUUUCAGUCAUACUUAUCAUCUACUGAAGUGAAUCCAUCAAAAAGUGAGUUGCUCAUCUAUUGGAUGAAACAAUGUGAGUUUGGCUGAUAAGGAUUUUGAUUUGCUAAGCUGGUGCAAGGUUAACUCACAUAGAUUUCCAGUGGUGUCGAGGAUGGCAAAGUUCUUAAUUGUGCCCGCUACCUCUGUGUCUUCAGAGUCUACUUUUCGCACUGGGGGUCGAACUCUAGAUGACUAUCGUAGCUCUCUAAGCCCUUCUAUGGUAGAGGCAUUGAUAUGCUCCUCUAGUUGGAUUCGAAGUGCACAUGAUGGGAGUCAUAUGUAUUGUAGUAUGAUAUUCUUCUACUUUUUUAUUCUAGUGUGUUUUCUAUUUUUUUAUCAAUGUAAUGCUCUAUUUAUUUUUUGGAGCAAGAUGAAGAAGACGAUAUUGAAAACAAUGCAUUUCCAAAAAGUUUGGUGGAGAGCAACUAGAUCUUGAUAUCUUUUGGACAAUUGGAUGGUUGAUCACAUAGCAAGUCGCAUGGAUGAUGGACUCAUCAGUCAUCACUCAUGGACAUGUUCACAUGGAUGAGCACACAACAAGUGGCAUUUGAUUCUGGAAUUUUGGAUGGUGGUAGUUGCAUGCCACUUGUAUUUGUGUAACUGUGGGCUGUCACCUGUUAGGUUGUGCGGCUGUGGCAUGGUUCUUUACUUCUUUUGUUUAUCUCUUCACUGUUUAGACUUGAGAAUUUGUAGUUGCAUUCGUAUUGCAGACUUUAUUGUCUUACUGUUGGAGAUGGUAGUGAUGUUACUGAAUACUGAGGUAGUGUAACUGUUGGAGUUGGCAGACUUUAUUGUCUUGCACUUUUGCUAUUGGAGUUGGUAUUGCAGACUUAAGUGUUAUUUCAGUUUGUGAGUAAUGUGACUAUGUCCCCUUAUGUUUAUUCAA